UAGGCUGACAGCAAGGUUCCCGACGGUCAGGCAGCCCAUGAAAAAACCAUUACCGCGAUGCUUCCGGCGUUGGCAGGUGCCAACAUCAUCUAUGGUC
rnacentral:ncRNA from 1 species